rnacentral:rRNA from 1 species
CCUACGGGUGGCUGCAGUGGGGAAUAUUGGACAAUGGGGGCAACCCUGAUCCAGCCAUGCCGCGUGUGUGAAGAAGGCCCUCGGGUUGUAAAGCACUUUCAGUGAGGAAGAACGCCUGGUGGUUAAUACCCAUCAGGAAAGACAUCACUCACAGAAGAAGCACCGGCUAACUCCGUGCCAGCAGCCGCGGUAAUACGGAGGGUGCGAGCGUUAAUCGGAAUUACUGGGCGUAAAGCGCGCGUAGGUGGCUUGAUAAGCCGGUUGUGAAAGCCCCGGGCUCAACCUGGGAACGGCAUCCGGAACUGUCAAGCUAGAGUGCAGGAGAGGAAGGUAGAAUUCCCGGUGUAGCGGUGAAAUGCGUAGAGAUCGGGAGGAAUACCAGUGGCGAAGGCGGCCUUCUGGACUGACACUGACACUGAGGUGCGAAAGCGUGGGUGGCAAACAGGAUUAGAUACCCGAGUAGUC